UACGGGGGGAGCAAGCGUUGUUCGGAUUUACUGGGCGUAAAGAGCGUGUAGGCGGUCCGGUAAGUCCGCUGUGAAAGUCGGGGGCUCAACCCUCGAAUGCCGGUGGAUACUGUCGGGCUAGAGUGCGGAAGAGGCGAGUGGAAUUCCUGGUGUAGCGGUGAAAUGCGCAGAUAUCAGGAGGAACACCGGUGGCGAAGGCGGGUCUCUGGGCAACAACUGACGCUGAGGAGCGAAAGCGUGGGGAGCGAACAGG
rnacentral:rRNA from 1 species